rnacentral:rRNA from 1 species
GAUGAACGCUGGCGGCGUGCCUAAUACAUGCAAGUCGAGCGAACAGAUGAGGAGCUCGCUCCUCUGACGUUAGCGGCGGACGGGUGAGUAACACGUGGAUAACCUACCUAUAAGACUGGGAUAACUUCGGGAAACCGGAGCUAAUACCGGAUAAUAUAUUGAACCGCAUGGUUCAAUAGUGAAAGACGGUUUUGCUGUCACUUAUAGAUGGAUCCGCGCCGCAUUAGCUAGUUGGUAAGGUAACGGCUUACCAAGGCAACGAUGCGUAGCCGACCUGAGAGGGUGAUCGGCCACACUGGAACUGAGACACGGUCCAGACUCCUACGGGAGGCAGCAGUAGGGAAUCUUCCGCAAUGGGCGAAAGCCUGACGGAGCAACGCCGCGUGAGUGAUGAAGGUCUUCGGAUCGUAAAACUCUGUUAUUAGGGAAGAACAAAUGUGUAAGUAACUAUGCACGUCUUGACGGUACCUAAUCAGAAAGCCACGGCUAACUACGUG